GCUGCAGCCCGGCCCCAGAGCACCCGGCCGGGCUGCUAAACCAGGCCGCUGGCAAAGCGGGGCCUCUGGCCUGCCCGCGGAAGGGAGAGGGGCGAACCCCGGACGAACGGCAGGGACACGGCUGCAGCCAGCCCUUAGCACCCCCAGAGCUCGGCCUGGGCUUCGCACGGAGGGACGGAUUCUCACGCGCGCCUGAAACUUUCCAGUGAGAGGAAAAGAGACUUCCCAUCUCAACUGAAUUUCCCGACUUCCAACGAGAGGAAGAAGUUAAAGCAAGCAGGGGUGCCACAGCUAAGUUUGCCAGCUCAAUGAGUGCCAGUGCGCCAUGCAUGCGUUCACGCUGCUCCUGGAGGCGACGGUGGCGGGCAGCUGAAUGAGCGCUGUUCUUCUCCUCGUCAUCCUCUUCGUCAGACUGAAGAUACUCCAUUGGGUCCUGCUGUUCCUGAUCUGUUUUCUGGAUUGCUUUGGUCUUCAAAGCAGGAGCACGCUGCUCUCUAGUCUCCCAGUACCUAGAACAUCAAAUGUGAGGAAUACAUACAAUUGACUCUCACACCAACAAUUCAAAAUGGGCAAAAACCUCCCAAGUACUAGCUUGCAUCCAACUGGGCAUUGCACCUGGCUUUACCUUUCAGCCCCUGUAUGGUAGUAUUUAAACUGUCAAAAACCUUCUUUAUUCAGUAUUUUAAAUGUAAAGUGCCCAAGUGAACAUGUGUGACAGAUUUCUUGUCUC